rnacentral:rRNA from 1 species
UACGUAGGGUGCGAGCGUUGUCCGGAAUUACUGGGCGUAAAGCGUGCGCAGGCGGUGAUGUAAGACAGGUGUGAAAUCCCCGGGCUUAACCUGGGAACUGCAUUUGUGACUGCAUCGCUGGAGUGCGGCAGAGGGGGAUGGAAUUCCUGGUGUAGCAGUGAAAUGCGUAGAUGUCAGGAGGAACACCGAUGGCGAAGGCAGGUCUCUGGGCUGACACUGACGCUCAUGCACGAAAGCGUGGGGAGCAAACAGG